ensembl:lincRNA
AUGCAGACACGGGGGGUGGGGGCACCCGAAGCCCAGCCCCUGCCUCCAGACUCAGGGAGGGAGGAGCUGGGGGUGGCAGGUGCCUGGGGUAGAUUCAGGGGUUGUGGACAGACUCUGGGCACCCGCCAUAACCCAAGUCUAGGGCGUGGAAGAGCCCAGAUGGCAGAAAAAGUGCUGGAGCGCUGGGAGCACUGGGAGCGCCUACCCCGCCCAACGCUUAUCUCCUGCGCCCCAAAAGUGCUUGCUCAUUGCAGAGGAAAUUGUGACAUCCUGGGACCAGGCUUCCUCCUGACCCAGUCACAUCCGCUGCUCUCUGAGAGCCCCCCGCCAGGCCUGCCACAGCAUCCAGCCCAUGGGUCGGGGGUGGGGAGGGGAGCCCCCUGGAGCAUGGGUGCUCCCUCUUGGUCUCUUCCAGCAGGGAGAGGAGGUGUGGGGUCUGGGCGGCCCCUCUGCUCCCUUCCUUGUGGCUGCUGCCUCCUCAGGGGGUGAGACUGGCCCCAGGGCUACUGUCUCGGGCUCCACCUGAGCUGUGGAUGGCCCAUCAGGAGGUAGUCAGGACAAAACGGGGGCGGGGGGUGGGGUGCAGGAUCUGAGGAGGGGCCUGCCCUGGGAAGCUUAUAAGUCUUGCCCCCUAACACCGCCCACCCUGGGGCAGACAGCAGGUGCAGGAGUGAAAGAAAAGGGAGGUUGGUGGGACGGAGGGUCUGCUCCUCCAGCUUCUCUCCCAGGCUGGGCUGGGCUCUGGGCAACCGAGGUGGGGUCAGGUGAAGUGUAGCCGGGGGUUAUCAGCAAGCCAGAUCUAACUGCUAUCUUGGUCUUCUUGGGUUACUUGUGGGCCUGGGCACUUGGUAAACACCUCCCCAGCCCAACCCAGUCCCCUCUGAGAAACUAGCUCCCCCCAGGGAACUAGAGGGGCACACAGAGAGAAAGAAAACCUUGCCAAGAGCUCAGACCCUCCAGAAACACCUCGGGGGUUCAGUUGCUUCCUCGGCAAUUCCUCACUCCCCUUUCCUGGGGAAGUUGGGUGGGAUCCCAGGAGCGGAACUGUGCACACAUCUUCUGUGCUGGGCUUAGUUGCUCAUUUGUGUCUGACUCUUUGCGAUCCCAUGGACUGCAGCCCGCCAAGCUCCUGUCCAUGGGAUUCUCCAGGCAAGAAUACCGGAGUGGGUGGCCGUGCCCUCCUCUACAUGUCCUUAUUGGCAAAUGGCAGGGUGUGGGGACAAAAAAUAGCCAUGGUCCUGUUAACCUCGCCUCAUUUCCUCCUGGUGACCUGUGUGGGUAUCCGCGUGCAUCCUGAGGCCUCAGUGCUAAAAGCUGCCCCCCCUCCCCACCUGGAUGCAGCCUGAUGCAUCUCUGACCCUGCGACCCACCGUGUGGGUGCUUGAUAGUGCCGAGAUGCACCUCCCAUGUCUGAUGGCUUGGGAACCUGAAAUCCCCUCUUACUUCCCCAUCACCCCGGCUGUUUCUGAGCCUGGGAGCUGCCCAAAUAGCUGUCUCUUCCUUGGGCGCCCUCCUGGAACUCCUCAAGUGUGCUGCUUGCUCUUUUUUUCCUCCAAAAUCUGUUACUAAGUUGGAAUCAGGGCACAUCAUUAUGGAGCUGGGUAGGUCCCAGGCUUGGGGGAGGCAGAAGGGAGAGAGUGUGGGAGAAAAAGAGGAGCCAGAGAUGGGGCCAAGCCUGGGAGACAGGCAUGCACUUCAACUGUCCUUUCCAAUGGGAGGUUUCACCCCAUCUUUAAACUAAAAGACUGCCCCGAUCUGUCCUAGAUUUGAUAGCUUCCCUCUGCCAAGGACAGACAGUUGGGGGGUGAGUGUGGGUCUGGGGCCUCCAUGCCUGCACCCCCCAGGGACCAGCAUGUGUGGGAAGAGAGCAGUGAUCUGGAGCUGGAGUCAGGUACUAGCUUAUGCACUCUGUGGGGAUGGCAUGCAUGUGCACUGACUGGUGUGUAGGAGUGUGAAUAACAGUGUCACUCUGUGUGUGCAUCCCUUGGGGGCAUGUGGUUCCUGAAUGACCCCUGAGCCCAAGACCCAUGACCUUUCCUCCCCAGACCUGGGGUUCAGGAUGGGGCCCUGUCUCCUGAAGCUUCUCCCUUUCCCUCCAUCAAACUCAGCAGGGCCUGUAUCCGCAGGGACUGUUCACUUCUCCACUCACCUGCACCUCGCCUGGGAGCUCCCUGUUGGCCCGGCCCCAGGGGCAGGAAGGGACCAGCUAGGAAAGUGGGACCUCUGGGGUCCACUUCUUCUGACCUCUAUUCUUUUGCCCUUUCCGAAGCCCUUUCAGGUCUCUGCACAGGGGAAGGGGCUGAGCUGGAGAGAGGGGUUUGCUUCUCUUUGUCCUCCUUGGCUGAUCCUCAGUUUUCUUGUCUCUAGAAUGGGGAGCCCCCAUGACCCCUAUUGGAAAGGCCGUAAAACGUGUGUCCAAAACAGCUGCGGGUGGCUGAGGUCGCGGCGAGGUAGGCAAGGCUGGCUGAACCAGGAGUUCUGAGGCCCGGGAGAGGAGGGGGAUGGAGAUGCCUCCCUUCUGUGUCUGGUUCCUAGUUCCUGGUGAGCCCCUCGCCCAGAGCUAGGAAGGGCUCGGCCAGGGCUUCGCCCACCCCAAACCGCCCCAGGCUACCCGCAAUCCCCAGACCGGCCCCGGCCCCAGCCGCAGCUGGGAAGGUGGCGCCCGAGCUCGGACCC